rnacentral:rRNA from 1 species
UGGCCAGAGACCGAUAGCGCCCAAGUAGAGUGAUCGAAAGAUGAAAAGCCCUUUGGAAAGAGAGUCAAACAGCCCGUGAAAUUGUUAAAAGGGAAGCGCUUGCCGCCAGACUUGCCCGCAGUUGCUCACCUGGGCGUUGGCCCGGGGCACUCUUCUGCGGGCAGGCCAGCAUCAGUUUGGGCGACCGGAUAAUGGACUCUGUCACGUUCCUUCCCUCGGGAUGGCCUUAUAGGGGAGGCGUGACACGGCCAGCCCGGACUGAGGUCCGCGCGUUUGCUAGGAUGCUGGCGUAAUGGCUGUAAGCGGCCCGUCUUGAAACACGGACCAAGGAGUCUAACAUCUAUGCGAGUGUUUGGGUGUCAAGCCCGGGCGCGUAAUGAAAGUGAACGGAGGUGGGAACCCUCUCGGGGGUGCACCAUCGACCGAUCCUGAUGUCUUCGGAUGGAUUUGAGUAAGAGCAUAGCUGUUGGGACCCGAAAGAUGGUGAACUAUGCUUGAAUAGGGUGAAGCCAGAGGAAACUCUGGUGGAGGCUCGCAGCGGUUCUGACGUGCAAAUCGAUCGUCAAAUUUGGGCAUAGGGGCGAAAGACUAAUCGAACUAUCGGC